rnacentral:rRNA from 2 species
AGAGUUUGAUCCUGGCUCAGAUUGAACGCUGGCGGCAUGCUUUACACAUGCAAGUCGAACGGGGUUAAGGGGCUUGCUCCUUAAUCUAGUGGCGAACGGGUGAGUAAUGCAUCGGAAUGUACCGGGUAGUGGGGGAUAACUCGGCGAAAGGCGGAUUAAUACCGCAUACUCCCUGAGGGGGAAAGUGGGGGACCUUAAGGCCUCGCGUUAUCCGAGCGGCCGAUGUCUGAUUAGCUAGUUGGUGAGGUAAAGGCUCACCAAGGCGACGAUCCGUAGCGGGUCUGAGAGGAUGAUCCGCCACACUGGGACUGAGACACGGCCCAGACUCCUACGGGAGGCAGCAGUGGGGAAUUUUGGACAAUGGGCGCAAGCCUGAUCCAGCCAUGCCGCGUGUCUGAAGAAGGCUUCGGGUUG